AGUGACGUCAAGUCAUCAUGGCCCUUAUGUCCAGGGCGACACACGUGCUACAAUGGCCGGCACAGCGGGAAGCGAGGGGGCGACCUUGAGCGGAUCCCUCAAAGCCGGUCUCAGUUCGGAUUGCAGUCUGCAACUCGACUGCAUGAAGUUGGAAUCGCUAGUAAUCGUGGAUCAGCCAAGCCGCGGUGAAUACGUUCCCGGGCCUU
rnacentral:rRNA from 1 species